AUUGAACGCUGGCGGCAGGCCUAACACAUGCAAGUCGAGCGGGGUUUUCGGACCUAGCGGCGGACUGGUGAGUAAUGCGUAGGAAGCUGCCCGAUAGAGGGGGAUACCAGUUGGAAACGACUGUUAAUACCGCAUAAUGUCUACGGACCAAAGUGUGGGACCUUCGGGCCACAUGCUAUCGGAUGCGCCUACGUGGGAUU
rnacentral:rRNA from 1 species